GUGGCUGAAACGGUGAGCGAACACACGGAAUUUAAAAUCCCUCGGCGGCAACGCUGUGCGGGUUCAAGUCCCGCUCUGGGCACCA
rnacentral:tRNA from 1 species